rnacentral:rRNA from 1 species
GACGAACGCUGGCGGCGUGCUUAACACAUGCCAGUCGAACGGAAAGGCCUGCUUUCCCUUGUGGAUUGCGGGUACUCGAGUGGCGAACGGGUGAGUAACACGUGAGUGAUCUGCCCCCAACCUGGGUAUAAGCCUGGGAAACUGGGUCUAAUUCCCGAUAGGACUGCAGGGUGGUGCCUGUGGUGGAAAACGAUUUUCUAGUGGUUGGGGAUGAGCUCGCGGCCUAUCGGCUUGUUGGUGGGGUAAUGGCCUACCAAGGCGGCGACGGGUAGCCGGCCUGGGAGGGUGGACGGCCACAUUGGGACUGAGAUACGGCCCAGACUCCUACGGGAGGCAGCAGUGGGGAAUAUUGCACAAUGGGCGGAAGCCUGAUGCAGCGACGCCGCGUGGGGGAUGACGGCCUUCGGGUUGUAAACUCCUUUCGACCGCGAGGAAGCCACCUGGUUGGAAGGGUGGUGACGGUAGUGGUAGAAGAAGCACCGGCUAACUACGUG